rnacentral:misc_RNA from 1 species
GGGGACGAGUGUGAUGUAAAUGGAAGACAUGGCAACAAGGCUCUAUUUCCAUAUGAAAGUUUUGUGAAGCUUCAUAACUGGAAGAAUGAAUUGCGGCCAUUUGGCCUUGUAAAUUGUGGUAACAGCUGCUACGCUAAUGCUGUCCUUCAGUGCCUGGCAUUUACACCACCACUUACUUCAUAUUUUCUUCAAGGGCUCCACUCUAAGACAUGUGAAAAGAAAGGGUGGUGCUUUACAUGCGAAUUUGAAAGUUUAGUUCUAAAAGCAAAAGAUGGGAACUCUCCCCUAUCUCCUAGUAGUAUAAUUUCCCAUCUCGAAAGCAUCGGGAGCAAUCUUGGUAAUGGUAGAGAAGAAGACGCUCAUGAAUUUCUUAGGUAUGUUAUCGACACAAUGCAAUCCAUUUGCUUGAAGGGAGCUGGGGUUACUGCACCUGGCUCUUUUGAAGAAGAAACGAGUCUCAUUGGGCUUACAUUUGGGGGCUAUCUCCGUUCAAAGAUUGAGUGCAUGAGGUGUGGGGGCAAAUCUGAGAGGCAAGAAAGAAUAAUGGAUCUUACU